rnacentral:rRNA from 1 species
CCUACGGGUGGCAGCAGUGGGGCAUAUUGCGCAAUGGGCGAAAGCCGGACGCAGCGACGCCGCGUGAGGGAUGAAGGUCUUCGGAUCGUAAAACUCUGUCAGCAGGGAAGAACGGUCACUGUGCUAAUCAGCAGUGAAUUGACGGUACCUGCCAAGGAAGCACCGGCUAACUACGGGCCAGCCGCCGAGGUAAUACGGAGGGUGCGAGCGUUAAUCGGAAUUACUGGGCGUAAAGCGAUCGUAGGCGGUAUGUCAAGUCAAGGGUGAAAUCCCCGCGCUCAACGUGGGAACUGCCUUUGAAACUGGCAAACUGUAGUGUGUGAGAGGAUAGUGGAAUUCCAGGUGUAGGAGUGAAAUCCGUAGAUAUCUGGAGGAACAUCAGUGGCGAAGGCGACUAUCUGGCACAUAACUGACGCUGAGGAGCGAAAGCGUGGGUAGCAAACAGGAUUAGAUACCCCAGUAGUC